AUUUUAAUGUCAUAAUCCUAUAUUUAAUUAUGCAACCUCUUAUUUAGUAUCUUUUGGCUUCUUCAAGCUCUAUAAAUAUUAAGCAUUUAAGAUUUGUUAUGUUUGAGUUUUUUUAAUUAUUUAACCAACAUCCUCUUUAGAAAUGUUCUUGUGUUUUUAUUUUUUGACUUAUUUAAAUUUUUAGUAUUGUAUGCUUCAUGGAGUACUAUUUUCUUCAUGAGUUAAACAAUGACAAAAAUAGUUGGAUAAUAAGGGUUAGACUUUUAAGAUGUGAGAGUCUGUUAAUACUAAGAAAAAUGGAGAGUUGAUUAGUGUGAACAUAAUUUUUAUUGAUGAAAAGGUUGUGUACACUUAACUAUACACAUUAAUAUAUAUUUUUAAU
rnacentral:lncRNA from 1 species